rnacentral:rRNA from 1 species
AAGAUAUUAAGAGUCGAACAGACUCAGAGUUAUAAAUUUUUCUUUAUACAUUUUUCUUAAUCCAACAUCGAGGUCGUAAAUCAUCCUUUAAAUUUGAUCUUUUGUGGUGUUUUACG